GGGGUUGUGGCUCAGUGGUAGAGCACUUGCCUAGCAUGUAUGAGGGACUGGGUUCAAUUCUCAGCACCA
rfam:Ictidomys tridecemlineatus contig047349, whole genome shotgun sequence.